CCCAUCUUCAGGAAGCUGGCAGGUUUGUAUGCAAAGCAAGGUCUUCCCACACACGGUGAAAAUCAGGGCAGACAGUGGCAAAGUCUGGUGGAGAAGAUGAGAGAUGGUGCCAUCAGUUUUCAGGCACAAGUGUGGCUCUGCCUGGGCAUUUCUGCACUUCACCAAGCAGAGCCGAGGCAGCAGAUGCAAACACACCCUUGCUGCAGCGAGACUUUCGCAAACAAAAGCUGCUUGCUCUCCAGAAAAUCCUUGAUGUCCUGAGAGGUGGAAAGAACAGCUCUGGGAGAAACACGGACUGAACUGCCGCCUCUCCAGGUAGCCGGCUCUGCCCUGGCUGACUUCUUUCAACGUAGAGCUGCAGGCUGCGUGGCACAAUCUCCUGAUCUCUACGCCAUUUCCCGAGGGAGAGGGCAGGCCUUGAUAAAUUUGAUAAAUAUAAAUUAUCUGGAAGAUUUUGCUUUGUGAGGCUGAUUUUGCUUUAACAUUUCUACUGAUGUUCUUUUAUCGAGCUGGUGAGGCAGGCUUGGGCAACAGACGCAGUGGCCCAGGAAGGCACAGUGGCACCCUGUCUUGGAGAGGACUUGAGAGGGGCCCUUCUACAAGGAGGCAUGGGGACCCCACUAAUCAUUUCGGGAGCACUGAAUGAGUCACCUGCCAAGGCCAUAGGGGAUUUUCUGCUGAGAAGACAAUGAAAUUUGUGCUUUUUCCCACCCUUCUUAAGGAAGAAAUAUUUCAAGGGGCACCACACCUAAACAUCCUGGGCAUUUCCAGCAAAUCUCAACAGAUGAUGAGAUGGGUAGGAGUAAUUAUUGCAGCUGAGACCUACAGUACUCAUGGCCUACCACAAGGAUCCUCAUUGUGAUUUAGCUUUCCACAGUGACAAAGGACAGGUUGGGUCAGGCUGACCCAAAUGCCUGCUACCCCUGGCAUUUAUACUUCUCAUUAUAAAUCCAUCAUUUGGCAUUCUGCUUUAUCCCCUCCAGUCUCCUCUGAGUGAGUCAGCUUCCAGAGUCCCAGUAACUCUGGAGCCUGGAUGUGAUCAAGUUUCUGAACCUUCAAGACCAGACCCUGGACAGCAGCUACUUCUGUAAUAUGUUGCUGCCUGUGAAGGUCCUCAGCAGCU